UACGUAGGGUGCAAGCGUUAAUCGGAAUUACUGGGCGUAAAGCGCACGCAGGCGGUCUUGUAAGUUUGACGUGAAAGCUCCCGGCUUAACUGGGAGAGGUCGUUGAAGACUGCAAGACUUGAGGAAAUGAGAGGGGUGUAGAAUUCCCGGUGUAGUGGUGGAAUGCGUAGAUAUCGGGGGGAAUACCAGUGGCGAAAGCGGCACCCUAGCAUUUUUCUGACGCUCAUGUGCGAAAGCGUGGGGAGCGAACGGG
rnacentral:rRNA from 1 species